GCCCAGAUGAGCAUCGGAGGUCCGGUGUGCAGGCUUCAAACCUGUAGACGACGAAAGUCGUAGUGGUUCGAUUCCACCCUCUGGGCG